GCCUACCAUGGUGGUAACGGGUAACGGGGUGUUAGGGCACGACACCGGAGAGGGAGCCUGAGAAACGGCUACCACAUCCAAGGAUGGCAGCAGGCGCGCAAAUUACCCAAUCCCGACACGGGGAGGUAGUGACAAUAAAUAACAAUACGGGGUCCUUUCGGGUUUCGUAAUUGGAAUGAGUACAAUUUAAAUCUCUUAACGAGGAACAAUUGGAGGGCAAGUCUGGUGCCAGCAGCCGCGGUAAUUCCAGCUCCAAUAGCGUAUAUUAAAGUUGUUGCAGUUAAAAAGCUCGUAGUUGAAUUUCGGGAUUAGUACGUCGGUCGUGCCUUAGGUACGUACUGGUGUUACUGGUUCCUACCUUCUGACGAACCAUCAUGUCAUUAAUUUGGUGUGGCGGGGAAUCAGGACUGUUACUUUGAAAAAAUUAGAGUGUUUAAAGCAGGCUCGCGCUUGAAUACAUUAGCAUGGGAUAAUGAAAUAGGACGUUGACCCUAUUUUGUUGGUUUCUAGGAUUGACGUAAUGAUUAAUAGGGAUAGUUGGGGGCAUUAGUAUUCAAUUGUCAGAGGUGAAAUUCUUGGAUUUAUUGAAGACUAACUACUGCGAAAGCAUUUGCCAAGGAUGUUUUCAUUAAUCAAGAACGAAAGUUAGGGGAUCGAAGACGAUCAGAUACCGUCGUA
rnacentral:rRNA from 1 species